rnacentral:lncRNA from 1 species
UCCUGUGGUUAUGUUUUCUUCUUCCUGUGAAAGAUUCUUUUGCUUUGUAUUUCUUCAAGAAUUUUCCUCUGGAAAAACAUCACAAUGUGCUCCACUAAUUUCCAAAAGAUUUCUCUUGCUUUUACCUUCCUGUCGUCACCCUCAGUUUUAUCAUCAGCAUCUAUGUGCCACAAUCCCGAGAAGUCAUUUCACCCAACCUGUUCAUUCUACAGAUAAGGAAAGCAAGGCUUGAAGAGAUAUAGUAAUUCCCCAGCCUUUUUUAUUUCAGCUCUUAUUGCCUACAUCAUUUCACUAGCAAUUAAGACCGACCAAGACAAUCCAUCUCGGAACUAACUGUUUGCUCUGUGAUUGUCACAGGGAACUGUCGUGUUGCUAUCUUAAGAAUGCUGCUAAUCCUGUAACCACCAGCAAAUUUAAGUUCUCGCUCUCGCAAGACCUUUUCACUUGGUGUUCCAUGUCCCCUCUCUCACUUCCCCAUCUGUGGCCAUCCAAGUUUGCACCACUCUUUAUCUUUGCCAUUUAAAAUGUGCCUUUGUUUCAUUUCUUCCUAAAUGUGCUUAAAAACUAAUAUGCUUGUGCAAUCACAAUUUUGAUUAGUUCUUUAACCAAUGGGACAUUUUUGCCCUAAGAAGUUCUUGAGAGCAGUUAUUGGGAGGUCAGUGGUAUUAUGUAUUAUACACUCCAUUACCUUGUGUUUAUAAAGCACUUUACAUUUUACAGAGCACUUUGAUUCAUCCUCUUAUCUAUUCACUCAAGGACUCACGUCAUUUAACUAUUUAUUGAGCACCUGCUAGAACCAAAUUACUGUGCUGUAUCUUGUAUUCAGUGACAAUUACAAACAGAGUUCAAAUAUGUAAAUUGCUCAUUACAACACAAUGAAAUCAUCAAACACAAAUUUGCAAGUAGAAAGGAUCUGUAUUACUCUAAAUUUCCUACUUUAUUUAGAAAACUCCAAAGUAGUUUCCUGAAGAAUGUUUGGGAUAUAUAAUACACCACAGCGCAUGUGUGCUAUUCGCUGUAUUUCAAAUGAUCUGCUGAUUUGAAGUUUUUGAAAAAGUUACUGGAAGGUAUCCCUGAUACCGAAGACUUUCCAGUUCAGCUGCAUUCUUUCUAAGCAGGUGCAGUAGUUGAAGUUUGACAUUCCUGCACCAGCAUUUCUUCUGUGGCUUUUGAAUUAUGAGCCUCAUUGCUUUGAGGCCCCUCAGAAGCAUGGUGUAUCAAAGAAGCAUUUGCACUUUAGGUGUGUGUGGUUGUUACAUCAUUUAUCAGAACUUCUCAGGUUUUCUCAAACUCAGCACCAUUGACAUUUUAGACCUGAUAAUUCUUUGUUUGGAGUGGAGGAAGUGGCUAUCUUGUAGAGUAUUUGGUAGCUUUUAUGGCUUUCAUUGGCUGGAUCAUAGCACAUUCAACCUCUCCUGUUAUGACAGCCGAAGAUGUUUUCAGACACUGCCAGUGUCCCCUCGAAUCGAAAGGAUAGGAGAGGUUGACGAAACCCACCCCUUGUUAAAACCACUAUACCAAAAAGAGCCAAAAGACUUUUAACAUUCUGUUGUCAUUUAAUCUUCGUUACAGGUAGGUUUUUUUAUAAUACAACUUGGACUCCUAAACUCUUGGGACUAUUAGAAGAGACUGCAAAAGCCACACACAACCACAGCCCCAAAUCAUCCUUAUAUAUUUGUCAAUUUCUCCAGCCUCCAAAUUUACUGAGGGGAGAGUGGAAGAUUGAUUAUCUCUAGAAAUUUAGGAUUUGGCUUCUGCGUAGCUAGGGAUGUGGCCCUUUGGUAAUUAGGCUUUGCUACUGCAAUCUCCAUGGCAGUGGCUUCCACAUUCAGUGCAGGGACUGGAUACUGAAGUCACACAGCUUUGGCAUCUCACAGAUUUGCUUUGGGGAGUUACUUUUGUCAUCACACACAUUACACAAAUUUUGUUCCUUAGUCUUUGCCUCAGUGUGCACAGAAGUUAAAGCUGGCUACGUCUAAUUUUAAGUCUACCUGGAUGCUGUAUUUCUAUUUUUAAUUCCAGAAAGUUUUAUUUCCAUCAUCAGAAUAUUCUCCUUUAUUAUCCAGUCAGCUAUGGGCCUAAAGCAGUAGUGGUAAUAUUGAUUUAUUUCACUGUUUUUCUAGGUAGGGGAGAACCUUGACUAUCCCCAGUAAUUGAAAAUGGUAAUGCAGAGUUGGAAUACCUAAAUCUCCCAAAACAAAGCUCAUACUCAUUUGGUGUGCCUUAGGUCAGUCUUCCAGUAGGGGUGGCGAUUUCCUAUGGACAACUCUGAACCCAGUCAGUUUGUACUUGUGUCUGUUUUUGCACUGAUCGAAAAACUUGGCAAAGUUCAUCAAAGACAGCUCUUUAAAAAUGCCCCCAAUUAACAGCAAACUCCCAACUGGAAUAUCAGGCCUCCAUUUAUUCCUUUGCUAAGACCAACUCGGACUUUAAAUACAUUCAUAAUUAUUUACUAUAAAUUUACUAAUAUGGACACGAAAUUGAAAACAUUAAUUACAAAGUCUAUGACUAUGAAAUAUUAAAAAGUACAUACAGGGAAAGUUCUUGUAAGGCAGUCAUGGAAGUCAGAAAAUUUCAACUUCAAGACCCUCGGAUGUGUGUAUAAUUUUCUGCUCUACCACUAUUACAUCAAUCUACUUAGUAUUGUUUCUUAAGGUUUUAAGUAAGCUGAUCCUCUAGAUUCAACUUUAGAAUGGAUCUGCCUAAUUAUAGCUUGGCAUAACUUUUGUACCAUCCAGUGUUCAUGACUCUUAAAAUAGUUGCCCAUCACUCUUAAAAUGGAUGCCCAUUGCUCUUAAAAUGGUUGUUGCAAAGAGGCAAAAUGGUAACUACUGAAGUAAAAGCACAUAAUUUCUUGAAUUGAUUUUCCUUUGUAAGCUGAUAGAACAUAUUAUCAUUGGCUUCUUGAUAACACAUUUUUAUGAAUGACCAAAAACUUAUUAAUUUAUAUUAAUUUCUAGUUCAUUCUCCACAAUGAAAAAUUUUAUGUUUCUAGCCAGGAUAAAAGGCUGGAAAAUAUUAAAUGCAAACCACAAGCUGAUACAGAUCUUUAUCUAAUUUAUAAUUUUACUAACGUUUAAGAAUUACUCAUUUUUUCUCCUGAUAGAAUAAAGUUUAAAAAGUAACUUGCCAGAUACUGAUAUUAUAUUCAUUUUUAUUCUAGUUGAAAAGUAUCAAUGACUUCCAUCUGUCCCUCUGAGAUUUGAGUUUUUAGCAGCAGUCUCCUCUUUUCCUUGGCAUUGAAAAUACAUAUAUUCUGGGCCAAGGAUUUAGCUCAGAGGCAACAUGGCUGCCUCAAAAGCAGAAGGUCCUGAGUUCGAUCCCUAUAUAUAUAUAUAUAUAUAUAUAUAUAUAUAUAUAUGACUUUAUUGAAGUAUCAUAACUGAUCAUGCAGCUGUAAACCUUCUUACCUAUCAAAUAAAUGCACAGCAUGAACUAAUUUUAGAAAUUUGCUAUAUUGACAGUGGUGUAAACAGCAGUGGAUGAACAAAGAUGAUUUGUUGAAAAGAUAAAGUGCUAACUACUAUCAGGCAGAGUUUUCAACCUUUUCAGAAUAUUCAGUAAGGAUCAGCUCAAUUUUAGGACAUUUGAACAUGCAGACACUAGAGCACAAAUUCUUCAAGCGAUGCUAAAAGACACAUAGCACAGGAUGUGUCCACUUAGUCUGAAACACAGGCACCAUGCCUCUUCUAUGGCAGCAGACCUGAUGCCACUGAGGUCCCUAGAGUAAGGACUUCAUUAUUAUUUCCAAAAAGGACUUAUUAUUUCCAAAAAGAAACUUUUCAUUUCUUGCCCUCUAAUUUAAAAAAGACAUUAUCAUAUUUUUUGGUUGAGCCAACCAGCCACACAAAGGCAACAAAAUGAAAUGAGAUUAAUUUUCCCAAGGGAGAGAUGAGAAAGGGCACUUUCCUCUUUGGAGCCCAGAGCUGUAUCUCUGUGAAGUUUGAUGAUCUCAGGAUCGAGCCAUGGUGCUGUUGUCUAGACAUUGUGGUGAUGUCUACACACCAUUUCAAAGUGCUUUGAACAAAAACAUGCUCAGAUUGUCAUAUUUAUAGCAGGGGAGAAAAUCAAGUGUCUUCCAUGCUCCUCUGAAAAUAACAUUAAGAGAAAUCAGAGCUUCUCCUUGCAAGGAAAUGUUAAAAUCAUUUUAGAGAAAUCAAUUAAAUGUCUUUUGACGCGGACAUCUUGUGUGUACUUGUAAUUGGGUCUUUCUCGGCCCUGGACUAGCAGUGGCAGAGUCUUUUCAUUGGUUGGUCAAAACAAAUAUCUCAUUUGCCUGAUCUGUGGCAUUUGGACAGCGCCUGGAAGUACAUUAUUUCCAAGGGAGAAAAGAGAGUCUUUUUCGCCUGCCAGCUGGGAUCAUGGGAACCUCAAAUGCCAGGAAUUUACUACUAUUUCUGGUAAUUCUGCUCGUAGUCAUUUGAAAUGUUGAAAGUUGAAAAGGGAAGAUGUUGAGCACUCAGGAGGGGCUGGAGAAGGGGGUGCUGUCCAUGUUUUCUGCCAGUUGCACCAGGGCAUUUGGAAGUGCGUAUAAUUGUACUCUUUGUCAGAAUGACAAAGCUCACUGUGGUGCUGCUCAAAGAGAACACUGAGGAAAAUCUGACCCUAAAAACCCGGUCAACCCAAAACAAAAAGAAAGAUUGUGUGGUGGAGCACAGCACAUUGCCAGUCCAUGUCGCACUAGUUUUGAAAGCUCUGGCCAUCCAACCAAGGACGUGUCUAUCUUUCAGGUGAAGGUUCAUUUUCCAAAUGUUUUUCCAAAUCUUCCUUAAUGCAGGGCUUGGAAAACUGAGCAUUACGAAUUUCUUCCAGUCCUCUGGGCCUCAUUCCUAGUCUCUCUGCUGGGUCAGUGAGACAUUCCAAGGCUGCCUUCUGUCAUCUCAAGUAACACACACAUACUUCACGGUGACCUUACAGCGGAUGAACCUGAGCCUGCAACUGUAAAAAUGAUUGUAUCUGAAUGCACAUUGAUGGUGUGGGAGAGCAAAACCAGUGUGCCCUCCAUUGGAAUCUUUUGUUCAAAUUCAGUAAUUCAGAUGUUACAUACUUCUGUAGGCUUCCUGAUGAUUUUCACUGAAAGUUUGCCGAUCUAAGUUUGAAUGUAUUUCCUUGCAGUCCAUUAAUUGGUCAUUUAUCUUUUGACUGGAAAUCAUGAUGAUUGUAAUCAUUCAUUAAUGUUUUCUUCACACAGCUUCAUAAACUAAGGUUUUCUGCAGUGAUUCAGGUUCUGCAUUCAUUGUAUGGGAAAUCUUUUUUUUCCCCUAAUAAUUAUUUGAUGAGAAAUUCAGUGUAUUGACUGUCACCCAGACACAAUACAUGUCUUAAAGUCUGGAUGCAGGUGGAGACCAAGUGUUACCUGUGUUCUUGCUGUUGAUUGCUAUUUUCAAAAUUAAAUCAUGUUUUUUCACUGUCAGUUGGAGUCAACAUAUCUGAGAUAUUUGAAGGGGGAGAAGGGAGCUAUUUGUGUAAUAGUGCUGUCAUAUUUGGCUACAUAUUAAACAUAAUAAAUGAGCAUUUUGUUUUAAUUUCUUAAAUACUUUUACCCUUGUCUUUCAACACGUUUUUGUUUCCUUUCCCUCGUUAGUCUCUAAACACAUUUUUACCACUGUGGAAGAAACCUAGUGUGCAAAGCCCAGAGCCACCAGACUGUUGACACACUGGAAAAUGUUUUUGUUUCUAAACCUGCUGUGGCAUAGGGACCAAAGCCAACUAGAGUGAACUGUAGAAAACAAAGGAUGUAAGCUGUCCUAGCAUGCAACUGGGUGGAGACGAUUCCCUGCCUUCACCCUCAGUGCCUGGGUGUUGAAUUCUGCAUCAGACAGGUGGGAUUUUAGCUGCCACAUUAAGUCCUAGAGCUUAAAGAAGUCUAGUGGCUUCAGUUCUGGUCUUGCCUCUGUUGUUAGUUCUGCUUUAUAAACUUUUAUUUUCCAAAUGAGUCCAUCAAGCUUCUCUAUUAUUUCACCCCCUUUUUCUCAACCUGGAAAUGAUUGUACCUAUUUCUCAGGGGCUGUUGGAUGUGUGCCUCAGGUAACUUAGGUGGAAUGUGUGAAGUGAGAUGUUGCCAUUCCAGGUAUCCCUUCUCUGUUUUCUCUUCCACCAUUGCAGGACUAUGCUCUUAACAGCACCAAGUACACACAGACCUGAACCCAGGUCCAGGAAGCACACGUGGUGCCCAAAGCUGUCUGGGUCCCAGGCAGUGGCAUUUCCUGAGCAACUGCUCUGUGCAAUUCGAUGAUGAUUUUUUUAAAAAUCUUAACCUCUGUAUGGAUCUUUUGGACUGUAUUCCUUAAACUUUGAUAUCACGGAGUAAAUUCAGAACUUCAAUGUUAAGUGGUGUGAAUUGUCUUUAUGAUGCCAAAAUAGGAAAGGUUAUUAAUGUAAAUCAUGCAUCUUUCCCCAAUAACAGAAAAACAUUAAGCUAAUGCUUUACAGGAUCAUUUAGCGUAUUCCAUUUCUUUAAAU